UGUGUGUGUGUGUGUGUGUGUGUGUGUGUGUGUGUGUGUGUGUGUGUGUGUGUGUGUGUGUGUGUCAAUCUCUAGUCGUUUUGCAGCACUCAGAAUCCUGUUGCUCUGUGGGAUACCUUCAAAUGCAAAACUUUUAACGCAGCUUAGGGGUCAAUUGGUGACCGCACAAGAGCAAGACCGAAUUUCGUCUCGCAGGGGACACUGGAAGGCACAGAGGCUUACCGCGCGGCUCACCUGAACAACUUAUCAGGAAUUCCUUAGUAAAUGACCUUCGUCCUGGUUACCAAGUCCUCCUCACAGACGACUGCAAUCCGCUCAGUAAACAGUCAAAUCAUCUCGGAUUGUGUUGAGGUUGGGCCGAGUAAUUUGAACAGUUAUACCAGGUUCAUCCACCAAUCCCUGUGCCAGACCCACCCAUCAGCAAAGAACCGCCUUCCCUAACUGAAGUAGGGAGACGAUCUCCAAGCUGAGGGGUGGUAAAGCAGCGGGUGUUUGCGGCAUCCUUUCUGAACUGCUAAAGGCUGAGCUGGUGGUACACCUAUAGUGCGGGGUUUGUAUGAUGUCCUGGCUGCCAUCUGGCAGUCUGGUCUCUUUCCCAUUGACUUGUUAAGGAGUGUAGUCAAAGGGGAUCAAUGGGACUAUUCAGUAUACCAGGCAAGGGUCUCACUCACAUCCUUCUGAGAUGCAUCAGAGAUCACCUAUUGAGGCAACAGUGACUAGAGCAGUCUGGAUUUACUCCUGAUAAGUCCACAAUAGACCGUAUCUGGUACUUCAAGUCACUGCAACCUACAUCGAGUUCAAGAAGGGUGUACGACACGGUGCAUUGUGAAUAGAUCCUGUGACUGAGGGGAAUUCCAACAAAGAUUAUAAAAUUAAGAGCAAGCCUGUAUACUGGUACUGAAAGUGCUGUAAAGUAUGAUUUGGCUCUGUCGAGCUUCUUCCCUGUUAACUUUGGAGUGAGGCAAGGGUGUGUUUUUACACUAACACUUUUCAACAUUUGUAUGGAGUGGAUACUGGGCAGAACUACUAUCUAAAGUCAUUGUGGAGCAACACUGGGCAGUAUCAAGGUUAUUGACCUUGAUUUUGCUGAUGAUGUUACUAUUCUAUCCGAGUCUCUAGUAGUGGCAGUUCUAGAUACAUUCAACAAUGAAGAAAAGCCCCUGGGUCUAGAGGUCUCCUGGACCAAGACCAAGAUCCAGGGCUUUUUGGGCCUGCUAGGAGAACCUGUACAGUCGGCGCAUGCUUGCAGCAAGGAUAUUAAAGUCACAGAGAGCUUUACAUAACUUGGUAGUGUAGUUCAUGACUCUAGGCUGUCAGACCAGUAAGUCUGUAGACAGAUUGCCCUAGAAGCAGUAUACACAAAAGGUCAUACACUCAUAAGUUCGUCUUUGAUAGAUUCUGUCAAUGACUACUCGCAAAAAUGCCUUUGACACCUGAUUUUUAUUUAUGAAUUGGCUGAAGGUCUGGUCUUGAUGCCCUUUGUAACAGGUCUUAGUGCUGGAUCAUGGGGUACAAUGGAAGGUUCAUGUGUCCAACCAAUGGUUACACCUUAUCAUAUGAUUCUAUAUAUACAGGAGUAUAUGAGACAUAAUUAUGAAAUAUAUCAACAUGUUCUUAAAAUAUUCUUUCAUGUAAAUAGGUUUGUAAAAGUUUCAUGUUCGCCAUAAUUAGCAUGUAUAAUGAGAAAACCAAAAAGAAAAAUAAUAUUGUUUUUCUUUUACUUUUGUAAAGUUUUCAAAUAUCAAGCAUUUUCAUAUUGGGUAUCUUGCCUUUGAUAUUUGUUUGUGGAUGGUUAAUGUUUAACAAUAAAAAGAAGGCUGCUUCAAACUUAUUGUCCAGUGAACUUUACUAAAAGAUAGAGGAAAUAACAAAUUUCAGUCAGUGCUGUCUGUACAUGGUUCUGUGAGUUUGUUGUUGACUGAUUAACUGACUGUCUGACAGACUCUCUCACUGUGUUAUCUCUGGCACAGGUAACCUAAAACUGGUUACCUGAAUUAUCAACAAUAAAAACUCACAGAACAAAGGAUGCAGUGAAGGGCUGUUAUCACUAGAGGGAUGUUUAAUUACAAUGAUGAAUAGUAUAUACAAAAAUGACCCUUUUACCAUAUGAUGCAUACAAAAGCUUUGGGUAGUCAGAGCUUUUGAGAGCAGACAUAGGUUCACGCAAAUUUGUAAAUGGAAGAGUUAAAUACCAUUUGAAAUAAAUGGACAAGGUUUACCAUUCUGCUAUACUUCAAAUAGCAAAAUGAGAAUGAUAAAAGAAUGACAAAAGUCACUUUACGAGAGUAUUUAUUUAAGUAAGAAUGCCAAAUGUCAUAUAGCAGGACCUUUCAACCAUUACACCAUCUUUGACAGGGAGUUUGGUCAUUGAUGCUUGAUCUUCUCCCAAAUUUUUAAUGUUUACAUAAUAAAUAUAUUUUGAUG